rnacentral:misc_RNA from 1 species
CAGGCAUUGGAUGCUGAGCC